rnacentral:rRNA from 1 species
GACGAACGCUGGCGGCGUGCUUAACACAUGCAAGUCGAACGGUAAGGCCCUUCGGGGUACACGAGUGGCGAACGGGUGAGUAACACGUGGGUGAUCUGCCCUGCACUUCGGGAUAAGCCUGGGAAACUGGGUCUAAUACCGGAGAGGACCACUGCCUGCAUGGGUGGUGGUGGAAAGCUUUUGCGGUGUGGGAUGGGCCCGCGGCCUAUCAGCUUGUUGGUGGGGUGAUGGCCUGCCAAGGCGACGACGGGUAGCCGGCCUGAGAGGGUGACCGGCCACACUGGGACUGAGAUACGGCCCAGACUCCUACGGGAGGCAGCAGUGGGGAAUAUUGCACAAUGGGCGCAAGCCUGAUGCAGCGACGCCGCGUGAGGGAUGACGGCCUUCGGGUUGUAAACCUCUUUCAGCACCGACGAAGCGCAAGUGACGGUAGGUGCGGAAGAAGGACCGGCCAACUACGUGCCAGCCGCCGCCGUAA